rnacentral:lncRNA from 1 species
CCGAAGUCCCAUCCACAGAUCUGACUCCCAGGCUGUGUGUCCUCUACCACACCACAAUUGUAUUUCCCUGCAGGAGCACAGCCUCUGUCAGAGCCUUUCUGCUUUCACCAUGAAAUCAUGAAAGAAAGAAGCAAGAUGAAAAAAACCCCAGAUUUAUGGUCUAUCUCCCUUUUUUAGGAAAAUGGAAAUCUGGUGUCAUUUUCCAAAUGGGGUAGAAAUUAAGCUGCGCAUCUAACUGCAAGCGCUGGGUGUUCUCCAUUAAGAACUCAGCUUCAGCUCCCGUAGGAGAUGGGUUCUUCCAGCUCUGCUAACCCGAGUGCCCACCGGAGCUGGGCCUGGUGGGACCUGCCGUUGCCUCAAAUACUCAUGGUCUAUGUGCCACGUGCCACACAGAGGGGACUUGGAGUGCUGACCUGUGUCUAUGGGCAGAGAGGCCUGCUCCUACCAGAGAAGUCUACAGGGGAAAAUGGACACAUUGGGAAGCGGCUGGAGGUAAGCCUCGCCUUCCGCACUUUGGAAGAAGAAUGCAUGCAGGAGUGCCCCAGAAGUCAGGACUCUAUUGCCGUGGGGUCCAGAGAGGGGAAGUCUCCCUUAGGAGGCGUGCUCAGCUGUGGGUGCAGUUUCUACCUCACCCUGGCCCCGCUCAGGCCCCUUCACAGCCCCUUCUCCAGUGCGUCCUUGUAACCAGGGACCUAGAGGCCUACCAGCUCGGAUGACCAGAACCCAUGUCUGAGAUGCUUGAACUCAGUCCUCUGGACCCCUCAAAAGGUGCACCUUCCAAAUUACCUGGACCUUGUGAGACCUUUAUGCUCUGGCCCUCUGUUCUUUUCCUCUGGUAGUUCUGAUGUGGAGAAGAAAGGCAAAAGAAAAAGAAUUAAACUUGUUUAUACCUUACUGCCCAUUCACAAAUCCCAGAGACAGGAAGAGUGACCGUCUCAGAGAGCUCAGCUGCCUCCAUGUUAACACAUUACUGAGGCAAAAGGCAACUUUAGCUUGACAUUAGCCCAACCUCCAGGAUCCUGUAAAAAUCCCUCUGGAAACUUCCUUUAUCUCCGCCCCCCCCCAAGAUGUAUGUUAGCAAUCAUAUGCCCCAUUGGUACGCAUCUGAAGGGUCUCAGGACUAAGGUUUUACUAGAUAGUAAAUGACCUUUUUCUAACAAUGGCUAGCCCCUCAAGGUCGUGGAAAUCUUGCUUCCAGAUUCCUUAGAAACUUGCACUAUCCCUAAGCCCCUCCCAACUUAGAAGUAUGUAAUCAGUCACUCCUCACAAUGCCAGUGCCCCUCUUUCUGCCUAUAGGUCCUGUCCCCGUGCUUUAAUAAAACCACCUUUUUGCACUGAAGAUGCCCCAAGAAUUCUUUCUUGACCAUUUGCUCCCAAACCCCAAUAUUUCACAGCAGGUCUGGG